rnacentral:rRNA from 1 species
CGGGACACGUGGUAUCCUGUCUGAAUAUGGGGGGACCAUCCUCCAAGGCUAAAUACUCCUGACUGACCGAUAGUGAACCAGUACCGUGAGGGAAAGGCGAAAAGAACCCCGGCGAGGGGAGUGAAAAAGAACCUGAAACCGUGUACGUACAAGCAGUGGGAGCACGCUUAGGCGUGUGACUGCGUACCUUUUGUAUAAUGGGUCAGCGACUUAUAUUCUGUAGCAAGGUUAACCGAAUAGGGGAGCCGAAGGGAAACCGAGUCUUAACUGGGCGUUAAGUUGCAGGGUAUAGACCCGAAACCCGGUGAUCUAGCCAUGGGCAGGUUGAAGGUUGGGUAACACUAACUGGAGGACCGAACCGACUAAUGUUGAAAAAUUAGCGGAUGACUUGUGGCUGGGGGUGAAAGGCCAAUCAAACCGGGAGAUAGCUGGUUCUCCCCGAAAGCUAUUUAGGUAGCGCCUCGUGAAUUCAUCUCCGGGGGUAGAGCACUGUUUCGGCAAGGGGGUCAUCCCGACUUACCAACCCGAUGCAAACUGCGAAUACCGGAGAAUGUUAUCACGGGAGACACACGGCGGGUGCUAACGUCCGUCGUGAAGAGGGAAACAACCCAGACCGCCAGCUAAGGUCCCAAAGUCAUGGUUAAGUGGGAAACGAUGUGGGAAGGCCCAGACAGCCAGGAUGUUGGCUUAGAAGCAGCCAUCAUUUAAAGAAAGCGUAAUAGCUCACUGGUCGAGUCGGCCUGCGCGGAAGAUGUAACGGGGCUAAACCAUGCACCGAAGCUGCGGCAGCGACGCUUAUGCGUUGUUGGGUAGGGGAGCGUUCUGUAAGCCUGUGAAGGUGUACUGUGAGGUAUGCUGGAGGUAUCAGAAGUGCGAAUGCUGACAUAAGUAACGAUAAAGCGGGUGAAAAGCCCGCUCGCCGGAAGACCAAGGGUUCCUGUCCAACGUUAAUCGGGGCAGGGUGAGUCGACCCCUAAGGCGAGGCCGAAAGGCGUAGUCGAUGGGAAACAGGUUAAUAUUCCUGUACUUGGUGUUACUGCGAAGGGGGGACGGAGAAGGCUAUGUUGGCCGGGCGACGGUUGUCCCGGUUUAAGCGUGUAGGCUGGUUUUCCAGGCAAAUCCGGAAAAUCAAGGCUGAGGCGUGAUGACGAGGCACUACGGUGCUGAAGCAACAAAUGCCCUGCUUCCAGGAAAAGCCUCUAAGCAUCAGGUAACAUCAAAUCGUACCCCAAACCGACACAGGUGGUCAGGUAGAGAAUACCAAGGCGCUUGAGAGAACUCGGGUGAAGGAACUAGGCAAAAUGGUGCCGUAACUUCGGGAGAAGGCACGCUGAUAUGUAGGUGAAGUCCCUCGCGGAUGGAGCUGAAAUCAGUCGAAGAUACCAGCUGGCUGCAACUGUUUAUUAAAAACACAGCACUGUGCAAACACGAAAGUGGACGUAUACGGUGUGACGCCUGCCCGGUGCCGGAAGGUUAAUUGAUGGGGUUAGCGCAAGCGAAGCUCUUGAUCGAAGCCCCGGUAAACGGCGGCCGUAACUAUAACGGUCCUAAGGUAGCGAAAUUCCUUGUCGGGUAAGUUCCGACCUGCACGAAUGGCGUAAUGAUGGCCAGGCUGUCUCCACCCGAGACUCAGUGAAAUUGAACUCGCUGUGAAGAUGCAGUGUACCCGCGGCAAGACGGAAAGACCCCGUGAACCUUUACUAUAGCUUGACACUGAACAUUGAGCCUUGAUGUGUAGGAUAGGUGGGAGGCUUUGAAGUGUGGACGCCAGUCUGCAUGGAGCCGACCUUGAAAUACCACCCUUUAAUGUUUGAUGUUCUAACGUGGACCCGUAAUCCGGGUUGCGGACAGUGUCUGGUGGGUAGUUUGACUGGGGCGGUCUCCUCCUAAAGAGUAACGGAGGAGCACGAAGGUUGGCUAAUCCUGGUCGGACAUCAGGAGGUUAGUGCAAUGGCAUAAGCCAGCUUGACUGCGAGCGUGACGGCGCGAGCAGGUGCGAAAGCAGGUCAUAGUGAUCCGGUGGUUCUGAAUGGAAGGGCCAUCGCUCAACGGAUAAAAGGUACUCCGGGGAUAACAGGCUGAUACCGCCCAAGAGUUCAUAUCGACGGCGGUGUUUGGCACCUCGAUGUCGGCUCAUCACAUCCUGGGGCUGAAGUAGGUCCCAAGGGUAUGGCUGUUCGCCAUUUAAAGUGGUACGCGAGCUGGGUUUAGAACGUCGUGAGACAGUUCGGUCCCUAUCUGCCGUGGGCGCUGGAGAACUGAGGGGGGCUGCUCCUAGUACGAGAGGACCGGAGUGGACGCAUCACUGGUGUUCGGGUUGUCAUGCCAAUGGCACUGCCCGGUAGCUAAAUGCGGAAGAGAUAAGUGCUGAAAGCAUCUAAGCACGAAACUUGCCCCGAGAUGAGUUCUCCCUGACUCCUUGAGAGUCCUGAAGGAACGU